rnacentral:rRNA from 1 species
CAAGGAAUUUUCCGCAAUGGGGGCAACCCUGACGGAGCAACGCCGCGUGCGGGAUGACGCUUUUCGGAGUGUAAACCGCUUUUCUUGGGGAGGACGACGGACAGUACCCGAGGAAGAAGGCCCGGCUAACUACGUGCCAGCAGCCGCGGUAAUACGUAGGGGCCGAGCGUUGUCCGGAGUUAUUGGGCGUAAAGCGCGCGCAGGCGGCUUCGCGCGCCCGACGUGAAAGCCCCCGGCUUAACCGGGGAGAGUCGUUGGGGACGGCGGGGCUUGAGGGCGGGAGAGGUCGGUGGAAUUCCUAGUGUAGCGGUGAAAUGCGUAGAGAUUAGGAGGAAUACCGGUGGCGAAGGCGACUUUCUGGACUUUUACUGACGCUCAGGUACGAAAGCGUGGGGAGCAAACAGG